rnacentral:rRNA from 1 species
GACAGAGGUGCCAAGCGUUGUUCGGAAUUACUGGGCGUAAAGGGCGCGUAGGCGGUUCGUCAAGUCCUUUGUGAAAUCCCCCGGCUCAACUGGGGAACUGCACAGGAAACUAGCGGGCUUGAGUUCGGGAGAGGGAAGCGGAAUUCCGGGUGUAGCGGUGAAAUGCGCAGAUAUCAGGAGGAACACCGAUGGCGAAGGCAGGUCUCUGGGCAUUAACUGACGCUGAGGAGCGAAAGCAUGGGGAGCGAACAGG